rnacentral:rRNA from 1 species
UACGUAGGUGGCAAGCGAUACUCGGAAUCACUAGGCGUAAAGCGCAUGUAGGCGGUUGGGCAAGUUGAGUGUGAAAGCUCCCGGCUAAACUGGGAGAGGACAUUUAAGACUGCCCGGCUAGAGGUCGGUAGAGGGGCGCAGAAUUCGGGGUGUAGCGGUGAAAUGUGUAGAGAUCCCGAGGAAUACCAGUGGUGAAGACGGCGCCCUGGGCCGAACCUGACGCUGAGAUGCGAAAGCGUGGGGAGCGAACGGG